rnacentral:rRNA from 1 species
CCUACGGGGUGCAGCAGUAGGGAAUCUUCCACAAUGGGCGAAAGCCUGAUGGAGCAACGCCGCGUGGGUGAAGAAGGUCUUCGGAUCGUAAAACCCUGUUGUUAGAGAAGAAAGUGCGUGAGAGUAACUGUUCACGUUUCGACGGUAUCUAACCAGAAAGCCACGGCUAACUACGUGCCAGCAGCCGCGGCAAUACGUAGGUGGCAAGCGUUAUCCGGAUUUAUGGGGCGUAAAGGGAACGCAGGCGGUCUUUUAAGUCUGAUGUGAAAGCCUUCGGCUUAACCGGAGUAGUGCAUUGGAAACUGGGAGACUGGAGUGCAGAAGAGGAGAGUGGAACUCCAUGUGUAGCGGUGAAAUGCGUAGAUAUAUGGAAGAACACCAGUGGCGAAGGCGGCUCUCUGGUCUGUAACUGACGCUGAGGUUCGAAAGCGUGGGUAGCAAACAGGAUUAGAUACCCUAGUAGUC